rnacentral:lncRNA from 1 species
AAAAUAAAAAUACUCAAAUCAGGAAGCAAUAUUUCAACACCCUGAGACAGUUGAAUUUUCAUUACAGAUUCCGCUGAACAGGCUCCUAUGAAACGUAUUGCAGAUUUAGAUAAGGAACCUCACCUUCUCGAGGGUCAUUGUUUACAAACAUCUGCAAUUCAGAAUGCAGAUUUAUUUCGUGAUCUUUCACUGCAAUAGCUUGAACUGCUGACUCUGCUUCUGCAUCAACACAGACAGAGAGAUCCAGAGUCUGAUCCCCAUAAUUUUUUAGCUGAAAUGAACUUUGAUGAUCUUUUUCUGUAUCUGGAAACAAUCCAUGCUGAUUGAUGGAUGAAUAUCUACUUUCAUCACUAUCUCUACUUUCAUCACUAUCAAAACUAUCAGGAACUACAGAUUCUGCAAUUCCAGAUGUUGAGACAACAGAAUCAUAGCCUGUACGGGUAAUACUC